rnacentral:rRNA from 1 species
GUUAAGCUUUUAAAUAACUAUUAAAGAUAUUAUCCCCUUGUAGUGUAGUUUAAUAGCUAUCUACAUAUUAACUUAAUAUAAAGUAUAAUAGUUUAUAUUUUAUAAUAUGACGUUAACAAUUUUGUUUAAUAUUUGAAAAUGUUAGUAUUAGUAAUAUUAGUAUAUGUGCUAAAGGAACUCGGCAAAAAACCACUCAACUGUUUAUCAAAAACAUAGCUAUAUGAAUUAAUAUAUAGUUAUUUCUGCUCAAUGAUUUAAAUAGCCGCAGUACUCUGACUGUGCAAAGGUAGCAUAAUCAGUUGGCUUUUAAUUAGAGUCUGGUAUGAACGAAAAUAUGGGUAGUAACUGUCUUAGCACAUUUUUUCGAACUUAUUAAACAAGUGCAAAUGCUUGUAAUUUAACAAUAGACGAGAAGACCCUAGAAACUUGGACAAGUUUUUGUUGGGGCGACAGAAUUACACUUAACUAAUCUUAUAAUACACGACGCGAUGUUGAAAGAAUAAGUUACUCUAGGGAUAACAGCAUAAUUUCAUUAGUUUGUGACCUCGAUGUUGGACUAGGUACUAUACCCUUAAGGCAAGGAUAUAUUAUGCUCUGUUCGAGCAAAAUUACCUACAUGAUCUGAGUUCAGACCG